GAAAGAAGCCAGAUAGCUGAUGCAACUGCUAGAAAGCUGAAUACCAUGAGUUUCUUUAUCUCACUGGGAUUGGGGGAUUCCUAAUGUGUCAUUCCAGACUGGUAGCUUGGGUCAUGCUACAUUGCAACCGUGAAGCUGUCUAGACUGGCCACUGGAGUUACACUACACUGCAGCCAUGAAGCGGUCUAGACUGGCCACUGGAGUUUUACUACACUGUAGCCAUGAAGUGGUCUAGACUGGCCACUGGAGUUACACUACACUGCAGCCAUGAAGCGGUCUAGACUGGCCACUGGAGUUAUACUACACUGUAGCCAUGAAGUGGUCUAGACUGGCCACUGGAGUUACACUACACUGCAGCCAUGAAGCGGUCUAGACUGGCCACUGGAGUUAUACUACACUGUAGCCAUGAAGCGGUCUAGACUGGCCACUGAAGUUACACUACACUGUAGCCAUGAAGCGGUCUAGACUGGCCACUGGAUUUACUGCCCGAGCUGGCCGCUGGCGGUGUAGUGCACCAGAGCGAUGAAUGAAGCUGCCCUACACUGAAGCUUCGAGGCCUCUUGGGCAAAGAGGGAUGCUUCCCAGCAGCUAAGGACUCUUUCUGUCUUCCCAAACUGGCUACUUGAGCCACACUACAUCGCAGCCACGAGGCUGCCUGGGCUGGCCACUUGUGUGAUGCUACACUGUAGCUAUGAGGCCUCACAGCCUGGCUCUUCAAUUGCUAAGGACAAGCUAAGGGACUUCAUACUGUGGUCUGGAAAGGUUUCUGGGAAACUGGUGUAGGUUCUGGUGCAUGGUGUGGGUUGUUUUAUUAUUGAUUGUCUAUUUUGUUACUAUUGUAAAAUGCUUUUGGGUUUGAAAAACAUGCUAUGUAACCUAAAUCUACAUUUCAAAUUGUACUUCAAAUGUAUGUCAUUUGGUAGCAAUGAGCUUCAAUUACUUUGAAUCAAGUCAGAUACAUUCUUCGAUUAAAAUAAAGCAUACAAAAUAACACUUCACAUAAACCAAAGCAAUAGCUCUCCAUAAAAUUCAAGUCUACUUCCAGCAUUUUCAAUUUUUGCAGUCUAUCAUAAAACACAAGCUGUUACUGAGGUAAGGUGUAAGGUGAAGUAAUUGCUCUUAAAAACACUGCAAUUGCUGCCAUUUGGACACCAUUUUUUUAGAUUUGGUAUUUAACUGGAAUUGGCUGUAAUGUUCUCUCACAUGCAAGACAGUUACCGAAUAAUUUUAUGUCUAGUCUUCAUGCUUGGCAUUAUAGCCAGAGGAUGCAGACACCCACAGAGUGGGUCAUUUUCUCAGCAUUGGCGUUAAUUAAAAGGUUGAACAUGUUUGUCCGAAAGUUUGUGCCCACAGAAAUCUCAUGUCCUCAUAAACAUUUUAAUUUUAGAUUAUAUUUGGGCGAUUACAGACGAUUAAAGCUUCUCUAAUUAUAGCGAAUACUUAAUUACCUCAGACUGGCAACGUUCUUAAUUUGAAACGUAUGGCAUCGUCGUGACCACCAGUUGGUAUGAAUGUUAUAUGCUUUCACACAAAGCCACAACAAACAAUAAGCUUUCUGACUGCUAUAUUAGUGUUUCCAUUCUAAAACAGGUACAUAUCAUUUAUGGCUUUAUAUACUGUAUAUGAGACACACACACACACACACACACACACACACACCCAUACAUGACAUGCUUACAUUGUGGUAUGCAUUACAUAUGGCCAUGUUUGCAUGUGUAUAUGACGUAUGUAUAUCACAUGUCUUGCUGAUUUUCUAAGUGAAAGAUUAAAAUAUUUUAACUAUGA